ensembl:snRNA U4 U4 spliceosomal RNA
AGCUUUUUGCAAUGGCAGUAUCGUAGCCGAUGAGGUUUAUCUGAGGCAUGAUUAUUUUUAAUUGAAAACUUUUCCCAAUACCCCGCCAUGAUGACUUGAAAUAUAGUUGGCAUUGGCAAUUUUUGGCAGUCUCUACAGGGA